rnacentral:rRNA from 1 species
AACGAACGCUGGCGGCAGGCCUAACACAUGCAAGUCGAGCGCCCCGCAAGGGGAGCGGCGGACGGGUGAGUAACGCGUGGGAACGUACCCUUUGCUACGGAAUAGCCUCGGGAAACUGGGAGUAAUACCGUAUGUGCCCCUUCGGGGGAAAGAUUUAUCGGCAAAGGAUCGGCCCGCGUUGGAUUAGGUAGUUGGUGGGGUAAUGGCCUACCAAGCCGACGAUCCAUAGCUGGUUUGAGAGGAUGAUCAGCCACACUGGGACUGAGACACGGCCCAGACUCCUACGGGAGGCAGCAGUGGGGAAUCUUAGACAAUGGGCGCAAGCCUGAUCUAGCCAUGCCGCGUGAGCGAUGAAGGCCUUAGGGUUGUAAAGCUCUUUCAGUGGGGAAGAUAAUGACUGUACCCACAGAAGAAGCCCCCGGCUAACUCCGUGCCAGCAGCCGCGGUAAU